GGCCGCGUGGCGUAAUGGCAACGCGUCUGACUACGAUUGUUGAUAAUCAGGAGAUUGCAGGUUCGACCCCUGCCGCGGUCA
rfam:Neolentinus lepideus HHB14362 ss-1 unplaced genomic scaffold NEOLEscaffold_4, whole genome shotgun sequence.